GGCAAUGGAGAGCUUGGAAAGCACAUUGAACAGAGGAGCUUCAAAAUCUUUCUCCUUCACACGAUUGGAGCAACCCUAGAUCUUAAAGGAGAAAACGCCAGGAUCACCUAAUGAUCCAAAGGAAAUACUGUUUGUGACUUCAAAUGGUUGGUGAUCCUCUAAGAAAUGGUUGACUUCGAGGACGAGGAAUUGUUGCAUAUAUGGCUU